UACAGAGGGGGCAAGCGUUGUUCGGAAUUACUGGGCGUAAAGGGCGCGUAGGCGGCCUGCUAAGUCGAACGUGAAAUCCCCGGGCUCAACCCGGGAACUGCGUCCGAUACUGGCAGGCUUGAAUCCGGGAGAGGGAUGUGGAAUUCCAGGUGUAGCGGUGAAAUGCGUAGAUAUCUGGAGGAACACCGGUGGCGAAGGCGGGUCUCUGGGCCGAUACUGACGCUGAGGAGCGAAAGCGUGGGGAGCAAACAGG
rnacentral:rRNA from 1 species